rnacentral:tRNA from 1 species
GCCGGUGUAGUGUAGCGGCCUAGCACGGAAGCCUGUCGCGCUUUCAACCCGGGUUCAAAUCCCGGCACCGGCG